rnacentral:misc_RNA from 1 species
GGUGGGAGCGAGCCUGCUCGCGAAGGCGUCCGCCCUGCCAAUGACUCGUUGACUGAUUCAUCGCUUUUCGCGAGCAGGCUCGCUCCCACA